GAUGAACGCUGGCGGCGUGCCUAAUACAUGCAAGUCGAGCGAACGGACGAGAAGCUUGCUUCUCUGAUGUUAGCGGCGGACGGGGGAGUAACACGUGGAUAACCUACCUAUAAGACUGGGAUAACUUCGGGAAACCGGAGCUAAUACCGGAUAAUAUUUUGAACCGCAUGGUUCAAAAGUGAAAGACGGUCUUGCUGUCACUUAUAGAUGGAUCCGCGCUGCAUUAGCUAGUUGGUAAGGUAACGGCUUACCAAGGCAACGAUGCAUAGCCGACCUGAGAGGGUGAUCGGCCACACUGGAACUGAGACACGGUCCAGACUCCUACGGGAGGCAGCAGUAGGGAAUCUUCCGCAAUGGGCGAAAGCCUGACGUAGCAACGCCGCGUGAGUGAUGAAGGUCUUCGGAUCGUAAAACUCUGUUAUUAGGGAAGAACAUAUGUGUAAGUAACUGUGCACAUCUUGACGGUACCUAAUCAGAAAGCCACGGCUAACUACGUG
rnacentral:rRNA from 1 species